CCAAGGAUUCUAACAAAUGCGCGAGUCAAACAGUCUUGAUUAGGCUCGUGUGGCGAAAUUAACAUAAUGGUAUGAUCCUCUCCUCUGCCUUCGGGUAUGUGAGGCGCAGUACCGACCUGUCUUAUUUGUCUUUUAGGCAAAUGGAUGGAGUUUGAGCGCAUUUGUUAGUACCCGAAAGAUGGUGAACUAUACUUGGGCAGGACGAAGCCAGAGGAAACUCUGGUGGAGGUCUGCAGCGGUUCUGACGUGCAAAUCGAUCGUCAGACCUGAGUAUAGGGGCGAAAGACUAAUCGAACCAUC
rnacentral:rRNA from 1 species